rnacentral:sRNA from 1 species
GGUUUUCAGCGUCAUAGGCGGACACGCUAACCUCUGCGCUACGGCGGCCUCCUAAAAUUUUGAUAUUUAUUUUGUACAUGUCACAAAGCGCCUACACCAAUUGUAAGGUGGAGGUCAUUACCUUCAUUUUGGUAUAUUACUCAUAUCCCAGAACUAUUUUAUGUUGAAUUAACCUGCCAGACUGGAAACAGAAAAAGAGAGACAGAAAAUAGAGAACCUGCAGAUUUCUACUGGGACUUUUUUGCUAACAGAAAUUUGAAACUUUGAACAGAUGUUUUGUAAAGGUCAGCUGUAUUAUGAACAGAAGCCGUUAAAUGAAAAUACAAAAACUAACGCCAAAAUGGGUCAAAAAGGCAGAGAUUCAACGCAGCAGUCAGUUUUCAGGUACAGAAAACUAACCAAAUGAAGUUAUAAUUUUACCUCAAGUCGGUUGUUGUACAUUAGAAGACACCAAGAAAAGAGCAAUUAUCGGAGUAUUAAGUGUUUUGAUGGAAUCAUCCUCACUGAAGAGCUGCGAUGAAACCAACUCCGUUCCUUUGAAUUUGUUAAGGAAGGAAGAUGCUGCCAUGGGAUUGAGUAGGUCUGCCCGGAAGUUAAAAAAGUGACGCACAAAGGGAUUGGAAAAAAUUAGAGCAAAUUAGUCUGCCAAUUGUGAACGGAUAUAGAUAUCUUCAAUGAUAACACAAUGUCCGUAGUCGGCGCAUGACCAAAUGGAAAGCUCCCUUUGCAGUCGCAGCAAUUUGUCUAUCCACAAUAUCUGGAAAUUCAGUUCACCAGACCGUCGCAGUUCGAAAAGCGGCAUUCUCACAAAUCAGAAUAUUAUUCCACUGCCUGUCACAUAGCUGAUUAUACUAUACUGCCGCAGCAUAACUUAUCACCGACCGGAUAAUUGCUUUGUACGUGGUUAGUCCAAGGUUACUUUUUCAGCACACCAAGUGCUGCUGACAAGGGACCUGAGAACGUUGUUUCCACUUUUAUGUAUGGUGAUGCAUGUAAAGCAGUUGUAGUUCAAUGCAGCCUCCGAAAAGCAUGCUGAUGCUCGUCGAAUGCAAAUUGUCCAACGGCAGUAGUAGUCCCUCAUGCGUCUUGGCUACUGAUGAGAGAAGGGAGAGCGGUCUGUACGACUCCACGUUGCUCAUGUCUUUUCCAUGUUUCAGUAGCGGGAUCACACUGAUCAUCAUCCAAACAUCGGAUACUAUAAUAGUGUUCAGACAGGCUGAAGACAGUUGUAAGGUACUCGACUCGAGGCACAUCCUGAUUCUUUAGCAUCAGUGUAGAGAUUCCGCCUGGGACCAGCACCUUGUGCGACUUGGCGCCACGGGUGACAUUCGUAGCUUAGUGCACGGUUAAUUGCGAUGGCUGUCCAGCGGCACGGGGAUCACGGACACGACGAAUGACUCCCCUUCUAGCCUUGUCACUCUCAGGUCAAUAAAUUGACGUUUAUCUAAGGAAAUGAGCUUGAGCCCAUAUGCGCAUAUAGGGGUUAUUUUAAAACAAUUGUUUUCCUUACAAGCAAAUAAAAAACUAACCAAAACAAAAAUCAGCUGUUGU